AGUGAACGCUGGCGGCGUGCUUAACACAUGCAAGUCGAACGAGAAACGGAUUUAGCUUGCUAAAUUGCAGUCUAAGUGGCGCACGGGUGAGUAAUGUAUAGAUAAUAUGCCUUUUACUAAGGGAUAACAGUUGGAAACGGCUGCUAAUACCUUAUAUGCCUUAAUACAUAAGUAUGCAAGGGAAAGAUUUAUUGGUAAGUGAUUAGUCUGUAUUGUAUCAGUUAGUUGGUGAGGUAAUGGCUCACCAAGACUAUGACGCAUAACUGGUUUGAGAGGAUGAUCAGUCACACUGGAACUGAGACACGGUCCAGACUCCUACGGGAGGCAGCAGUGGGGAAUAUUGCACAAUGGGGGAAACCCUGAUGCAGCAACGCCGCGUGGAGGAUGACACAUUUCGGUGCGUAAACUCCUUUUAUAUAGGAAGAUAAUGACGGUACUAUAUGAAUAAGCACCGGCUAACUCCGUGCCAGCAGCCGCAGUAA
rnacentral:rRNA from 1 species